rnacentral:lncRNA from 1 species
ACCUCUAGCCAGGGACGCGCGCUCGGUCCCCCGCCGUGCGCCCCCGGUCCCGCGCCCAGGCUCCCGCCCCUGGCCUCCUUACCAGCCACUUGUCGCCCAGCUGCGAACUGGAGCGGGAGGCGGCGGCCGGAGGGCCCAGGACAGCCCCGGGAGGGCGGCGAGGCGGAGCAGGAGCGCCCCGGCUCCGGCCACAUUCUCAGAGUCAGGAAAAGGGGCGAGAGGCCACAUGUCUCCCUCUCGCCCAACUGAAAACGAAACGGCGCUCCAGCAGAUUGGGUGGAAAGAGCUGGGUCUCUUUUCUCUGUUUUUCACGCUAGAAAGGGCUUGUAAACAUUGUUCCUUUUAAAAUGACCUACCCCAGGCAUUUGUUUGGGCACACUUCUGUCCUGGGGUCAUCGUUCCUAGGUGGCUUCGGACCUGGGACUUUUCCUGUAUCUGCACAUUGUCGUUUUAUACACAAUUGCCAAGGUGGGACUGCUUUCAACUUUACUGUGCUUGAAGCUGCAAAGGUUCUGCCCUGAUGUUUCCUGGAAUAAUGCUGAGGACUGCCUUUCGGGUAGCCGCCCUAUUCAGUUCACUUCAUCUCGGAAAUACCUGACCCCUGCCUUGGAUCCAGCGGCCCUCCUGAGAGCUGAGGAAGGAGGAAAUCCUAUGUGUCUGCUCCCGGAGCUGCCACAACCCAUCUUCCCACAACUCGGAACUUGGAAAAAGGAACCCAGGACACGACUUUGCUUUUCUUUUGGACCUAGUUGCAACUUUUAAAAGCCUUUCCACUGCACAGUGAAAGAAAACCACAAACUCCUUGUUUAAUAAGUGGGAUCACGUGCUUUUAACACGAGGAAAAGGUCAAUCUGAAGCAACUGAUAUGGAACUGCCAGAGUAGGAGUUGAAAAUCUUCCUAAACUGCUGGAGGAUACACCUCUGAUAGCUUGAGACAAAUAUCCUCUUGAUCAUUGUUUCACCAUAUUUGUCUUUGCUCAUGGAGAACCAUUUUGAUCCGUGGUUUAGCCUCCCAGGUGAUUGAACAAUACCGGUGAUCUGAGGCAGACCCUCUGUGACGGAUAACAGGAGUCCAUUCUCAAUUUUCUGUGCAAAUUGGGGAAGGCUGUUGAUAAUCGGUGGAUGCUAUAGUGCCCAUGGAAAGACUCUAGUCUGAAGAUACCAGUCUCUCCCUCCCAAGAUCACCUCCCCUGACCAACCUUCUGCACUCCUGACAGAUACAAGGGAGCAAGCAAGUUGCACCCAACCUAAUAGUAAAUUGCAGGGACAUUUCCAUUCUAAGGAAGGAAUUUUUGUGUGUGUUGCAACUCAGCUUCUGCUCUGGCAUUUUGCUGUGCAUUUAUAUUGCCAAUCAUGUUGGAGAGUCCAUGUGGUGAUUUCUGAAAACGAGAUGUGAGAAAGAAGAGGAUAAUUUAAGUCUAGACCUACAGAUUGUGCUGAUAAAGUGAUGAAGAACUACAAUCUUCUUAGUCAUUUCAUUGUAUAAGUGCAAUAAAGGAUUUUGUGUCUUUCCUGGCAAACAACUUGUGACCACAGUGAUGGCUCCAGCAGAAUGGAAAAGACCCUUUACCUCACAUCUCAGAAGUAAAGAUGCUGAUUAUUUGACAUCGCCAUUGGAAUCUCAAAACAGUGUAAAGCAUUUGCUAAAAAGAGUCACUUUCUGAGAAAUGACUCAGAAUUCGACUUACGUACUAGCAGAACUUAUUGCCCAUAAAAGGAAAGGCCACACUUUUUGUGAAAACUUAAUAAUCCCUAGGAUGUAAAAUUAUACUGAGUUAAAUCCUAGUCCCAUUUUUAGUACAAGAAACUGGAAAAAAAUAAUCCACUCUCAAAUGGUAAGACAAAUUGAGAUAUUGCUGAAAAGCCUCUUGACCCUGAAAAGUUCUGAAUAAUAAACUGAUAAAAGCAGCAGCAGCAUCUAACUUGACACCAGUCAUGUCAUUUG